rnacentral:rRNA from 1 species
GAUGAACGCUGGCGGCGUGCCUAAUACAUGCAAGUCGAGCGAACAGACGAGGAGCUUACUCCUCUGACGUUAGCGGCGGACGGGUGAGUAACACGUGGAUAACCUACCUAUAAGACUGGGAUAACUUCGGGAAACCGGAGCUAAUACCGGAUAACAUGUUGAACCGCAUGGUUCAACAGUGAAAGACGGUCUUGCUGUCACUUAUAGAUGGAUCCGCGUCGCAUUAGCUAGUUGGUAAGGUAACGGCUUACCAAGGCAACGAUGCGUAGCCGACCUGAGAGGGUGAUCGGCCACACUGGAACUGAGACACGGUCCAGACUCCUACGGGAGGCAGCAGUAGGGAAUCUUCCGCAAUGGGCGAAAGCCUGACGGAGCAACGCCGCGUGAGUGAAGAAGGUCUUCGGAUCGUAAAACUCUGUUAUUAGGGAAGAACAAAUGUGUAAGUAACUAUGCACGUCUUGACGGUACCUACUCAGAAAGCCACGGCUAACUACGUG